AGUCGACAGUAUUUUUAUUCCUUUCCUUUGCCUUUUUGAUUUCCAUCUUUUGAAACAUUGCCGCUUUUUCCUAUUUUAUUAGUAGAUUUCCAAGUCUUUCUACAAAAUAUUAUCAUCGCUUGAGAUUGUGAGCUACCAAGCUGAACAGCCUCUUCUUUUCUUUUGUCCAAAUGGGUCUCUUUCUUUUUGUAACGGUUAACGUUUCCUGGUUUCUCUCGCUUUCUCACUCUGUCUCUCUACCCACUUUGUAGUUCUAGUACGCAGAGCAACAACCAACAAAUGGGCAGAGCUACAAGAUGGCUAAAGAGCCUGUUUGGGAUAAAGAACAACAGCAAUAAGGACAUUUGUGAUCGGAGAGAUAAGAAGCGUUGUAGUUCGGCUAGGGACUCAACAGGGCUAUGUCACAAUCCGGCUACUAUACCACCCAAUAUUUCCCCAGCAGAAGCUGCUUGGCUAAGGUCAUAUUACAAUGACACUGAGAAGGAACAG
rnacentral:misc_RNA from 1 species